rnacentral:rRNA from 1 species
GACGAACGCUGGCGGCGUGCUUAACACAUGCAAGUCGAACGUGAUUUUUGUGGAAAUUCUUUCGGGAAUGGAAAUGAAAUGAAGUGGGGAACGGGUGGAUAACCCGUUUACAACCCUACUUUAACUGGGGGAAACCCGGUCGAAAACCAGAUUAAAUCCCGAACGACACCAAAAAAUAGUGAAAGACGGGGUUAAUGGUUCUUCGGGGUAAAAAGGGCCCGCGUCCGGUUAGUUGGUUGGAAGGGGAAAGGCCUACCAACGCGACGAUCAGUAGCCGGUCUGAGAGGAUGAACGGCCACAUUGGAACUGAGACACGGUCCAAACUCCUACGGGAGGCAGCAGUGGGGAAUAUUGCACAAUGGGGGGAACCCUGAUGCAGCGACGCCGCGUGAGCGAAGAAGGUUUUCGAAUCGUAAAGCUCUGUCCUAUGAGAAGAUAAUGACGGUAGCAUAGGAGGAAGCCCCGGCUAAAUACGUG